AUUGAACGCUGGCGGCAGGCCUAACACAUGCAAGUCGAACGAGUGGCGGACGGGUGAGUAAUGUCUGGGAAACUGCCCGAUGGAGGGGGAUAACUACUGGAAACGGUAGCUAAUACCGCAUACCAUCAGAUGUGCCCAGAUGGGAUUAGCUUGUUGGUGGGGUAACGGCUCACCAAGGCGACGAUCCCUAGCUGGUCUGAGAGGAUGACGAGGCAAAAGGGAAAGGGGAAAAGGUCAAGACUCCUAAGGGAGGCAGCAGUGGGGAAUAUUGCACAAUGGGCGAAAGCCUGAUGCAGCCAGGCCGCGUGUAUGAAGAAGGACUUCGGGUUGUAAAGUACUUUCAGCGGGGAGGCGUUACCCGCAGAAGAAGCACCGGCUAACUCCGUGCCAGCAGCCGCGGUAAUAC
rnacentral:rRNA from 1 species